CCGAAAGGGAACAAUACAAUCUAUAGGGAGCAAGGGGUCGGUUACAAAAGUUGAAAGAGAUUUAGAGAUGUUUCUCAACAUUGUAGCAAAGUCAUGAUAAUUGUUCAAGCGUGAUCUUUGACAUUUACAAAGAAGAUUCCUGAAACAACAGAUUCUUUGCAGCCACGUUCAUAACAUAUGGCGUGAGUAGCAUAUAGAGUGAAAGAGGGAAGAGAAUGUGUCCAUCAGCUCUACAAACACAAAGGAAUCUAAUCAACCUGCGGUAAGGGAGAGCGGGGGGGAACACAUUACUUGAAAUAGAUUGUAUGUGCAUACCUUAUCAAAAAAUAGAUUGUAUGUGCAUUGAUAUUUACAUAUAACAUGUUUUUUUAUCUCUGUAUAUCUUUGUCCACUAAUUCACAUGAGUUCAGAAGUGAGUAACCACCCACAGAGAGAGUUCUCACACAAAAAUUGUCACUUGCCUCUCGUGAAUUUUCCAGGCAGAUGUCCCGACAAGGAUAGACGAUCUGGUCAUUCUGGGACAGCAGAUGACAAUCUGCAAGUCUGGAGCUCCUCUCUAAUAGAUGUACCCAUAUCAUCAGUUGAUCUGAAUGAGAUUCCAGAUAAGCUGCCCAUCAAAGGAACGGAAGUCGACACAGUUACAGUCACUAUGGAUAACAAUCUGAAUUAACAUAUGGUGGAAGAACAAAGACAUGCUCAAAGGCUUGAACCACAGAAAUUUUGUUUUAGAGGACCUAAGAUGGGAAACAUGGUAAGAAACUGCAUUUUUCAGAUAACCAGACAAGGAAUGGGCAUAAUGAAAGAACGUUUUAGAACUAUUACUCCUCUGACCUGACUGAUGAUGGAACGAGGAGAGAUAAAUCUUAAGAACAUAAUUGAACCUUACUGGUGGUACAUUUUCUAAGUCAUUCCAAUAAUGAUGUCUCCUAAGCUACUUCAUUCUAUUUUGCAACACUUUCAAAUUUUCUUACGUUCUGCGUCAGUACCUAAGACGCAUAUGUGUAAAUUGCCUGAUAAAAUUAGUACUCUUGAUUGGAUGCAGUCCGCUCUUCGUGAUUUCCUGCACUACUGAGUUUUCAAAUAGAACUGAAAUUUCUAUCUCGACAAAAUCUAAUUGGUCUUAGUACUCAUUUUAUAUUUCUUCCUAUUGCUGGAAGUCUAGUACUUCAGACAAAGACUUACCAGCUUAAACAACUUUAAUAUGACUAGCUUCUGAUUUCUGAAUCUGCAAUAAGGAUACAUCUGAUAUAUUCAUUGCACUCAACUGUGCUCCCAGAACCACUGGAUAUCUCAAGAAAAUGAUUUUUAAUUAGUUAAUUAUUUUGUUCCAAUUUUAUGCAUCUCUCCGAACACCCAAGAGACCAAAUAAUCAAUUAGAUUUUCAGAAAAAACUAUGCUUACUGCUUAAAACGCGAAUAAAUAACCCAUUGCAAUACUACUUCCAGCUAAAAAGGCAUAUAUAAACGUGCAUUUAACAUGUAAAGUUACAAGGAUUACAAGGAGAAAUUCCUAAAUUCCGUGUUUUACAACUAAAUAAUCAUUGCAAACACGGCAUUAUAAUCAAUACACUAUCAUUAGUGUUUUACCAUUGAUAUCAGCGCAAAAAUAAAGGAUUUUUUUGUCUGAUUAUAGAAAGAAAUGAAAACAUAUUUAGAGGGAGAAUCAUGCGAGGUAAAAAGAGAAACGUACAAUUUAAUUGCGUCAGAUAAAUAAAACGUGAUGAGAUCGUUGCAGAAGGCGACAGAGAGGAGCGACUAGCAAAAUUCCAAAGCUGAAAUCAGUUCGAAUUUAAAAAUAAAUAAAGUAAAAGAAGAUAGCAGAUCGAAUUUGGGUCCAUUUGCUUGUUUUUUGGGCCAUUUGCAGAAUGGUCAUUAUUAAGGGAUAGUGAUAAUAGACAUUUAAUAUCACUUAUUUUUUUAUACUUUUAUACCUGAC
rnacentral:lncRNA from 1 species